rnacentral:lncRNA from 1 species
UUUAAAUACCUAAAUUAUUUUAAAACCCAAUUCACCCCCCCUCUUGGGUUGUCUAUCUGGGCAACAAAGAGAUAAGGCAUCACAAACACAAAGAUGUAUAGUGGUUCGGUGCACCCCAGCACCUACAUCCACUUUCCAAGAUCUCUUGAAAAUUUCACCAUAAUCCCUCAGAUUACAGCCGGUUGUUUUACAAGCUCACAACCUAACUUGUUGUUUUCACGAGAUCAUAACGAACUCGGUCGGUUUUCACAGGCUCA